rnacentral:ncRNA from 20 species
GGGGGGUUCGGAGGCGACGAACUGUGUCACCCAAUAUGGGCACCAAGGGGCACAGGGAGCUAGUGGUGCAACCGGCCGAACACCGC